rfam:Trichoderma virens Gv29-8 TRIVIscaffold_4, whole genome shotgun sequence.
GGGGAAUUGGUGUAGGGGUAUCGCGUUUGCUUUGCAUUUGUUCAGUCUGAGUGCAAGUCUGUAAAAGGUCAGGGGUUCAAAUCCCCUAUUCUCCA